UGUGUGUGUGUGUGUGUGUGUUACAUGGGCCCCGACGGUUAUUGCGGCGGCCUUUCUUCACGGCGGGUUACCUUCCUCACCCCCCUCACCCAGGGCCGAGCCGACCCAGGAGUUAGGCAGCUCGAUGGCCUGUAAAGGGUGCAUGCCUGUAACCGCGUGUUCCGGGCCCAGACGGCAUUCCGAACGAGCUGCUCCGCAUCUUGCCUCACGGCAUGAAACGAGCCCUACACAACACACUGAAGAUCAUGUACGUCAAGUCCACAAUCCCGGAGUCCUGGGCCACUUCGGACACGGUCCUGCUCCCAAAACCUGGGGACGCUCUCGACAUCAAGAACAAGAGGCCCAUUGCUCUAGCCAACACUUGCUAUAAACUGUACACCUCUAUGCUCACCCUGGGCAUCGGCGAACUGGCAGGCCCACUCCAGCUGUUCAGCGAACCACAGGAGGGCUUCCGGGCCUAUUGCAACACGGAACGGCAGAUACUGAACCUUGUGCAUGUAUUGGAGGACGCUGCCCUGUAUGGGAAAGACGUAUACGCAGUAUAUGUUGACUACAGCUCUGCGUUUAACACAAUCGAUCAGGACAGGCUACUCCAGAUUAUGUUCGAUCUGGGCCUGCCCGACGACCUGAUACGCGCAGUCCGCAACCUAUACGCGCACGCCACCACCCGCAUUCGUACUGAACAUGGAUGCACAUCCGCCAUCCCAAUAGAACGUGGCACGGUGCAAGGCGACACCCUGUCACCUGUACUGUUUAUCUUGUUCAUGGAACCGCUUGUGCGGUGGCUCCACGCAGGUGGGCGGGGCUACCGCUAUGGAUGCCUCAGCCCGGAAGACAAUGCACGGUACCACUGCAGCGCCGCCGCGUACGCUGACGACUUGGCGACCCUGACCACAACGCUGGAAGACCUGCAGAUCCAAUGCGACAAAAUCUCGGACUACGCAGACUGGGCAAGCCUGCGAGUCAAUCACACCAAGUGCGCAACUACCGCCAUCUGGCACAACAAGUCCCGGUCCACCCCGACCCUUGACGGACCCACCGGCCAAGCCACGCUGAACGCGAUGCACCGUGAACUGACUAACAAGCUACGAAUUGGCAACACCACUGUACCGUACUACCCGCCCACAAAACCCUACAAAUACCUGGGGGUGCAACUCACCUUCUCACUAGACUGGAAGGCGCAAGUCUCCCACGUCACGGAAACUGUGAAAGAAAAGGGCACGGCCAUAGCCACAUCACUGGCCACGCCGGCACAACGCCUACGCAUGCUGCAGCAAUGCAUCCACACCUCAAUCGCCUAUGCAUUUGCUGCGAUGCCAUACACGAAACAGGACAUCGCAAACUUUGACGCUGCACUGGCCGGAUACGCAAAACGGUGCUAUGGGCUGCCGCGCAGCUUCCCUACCCGUACCACCCUUCUCCCAAUCGAUGAAUAUGGCCUAGGACUGGGCUCACUCUUACCCCAGUACGCGCGUGUGGCCAACCGCGCGCUUGUCCUUGCUCUAAACGACACAGGCCGACUGGGCGUGGUUACCCGUGCCCUCCUGCCACGGCAGCAUAGCCUGGCGGGUACGAGCCUCGCACACCACCUACCUGCAGACAGAGGGCGCUUCUUCACAACUCUGCAACAGAUGACCCUCGCUCGUGAGCAUGGUAUACAGCUCUUCUACAAGGGCACACCGUAUACCACCCCUACCUGGUCAAUUGUCGAGGCCCUGGACGCCGCAGCUGCAGCGCGCGCGGCAGCACCCCUCCCUGUCGAACACGUGCUCCCGCUAGCGGAACUCCAGCUCGAAUUCAGCCACCUGGUCGACCGCAAUACGAGCCGCCAUCUGAUUAGCACCCGGGAGCUCGAGAAACUCCUGGGGGCAAGCAGGGUCCGCCACAAACACAAAGUUGCGCUCAACAGGCUGAGUCUGGCCCUGGUUGCCACGGCGGGAAUGGACGGAGACCAAAUGCCACCGGAAAAACACGGGAGCCCGAACCCGCUUCCGCCUACCCAGCGUGUGAUCCCACCCCUGGAAGAACUCCAGGCCCUCUCCGCACGGAACGACCCUCGACCCCCGGGCAUGGCACCACCCCUCACCGCACUCAUGACGGGAGGCCCCGCCCCACAGCCCCUCACCCCAGCCCCCAACACAACAACCCAAAUGGACAUUGAAGAAGCCAGCCCACUCUAUCACAACCCGCCCUUGCAAUACACGCCAACUGCCUUGGGGCAGAUGGCCCCAAUUCCUGCCCCAGCCGCGGAUACCGCAGCUCCCGUCGCCCAACCCGAAGCCAACCUGCGGACACGGCCACGGAAGACGCCCGUCAUGCGCACUCCCACACACCCAACUGCCCACUCCCGCCGCGUCACGAAACACGCUGCCCAAAAGGCCCGCAUUGCAGAAAACACGCGCACAACACCCGACGACCUGCUCACCGGUGAUAAAGCCGCAAUCAGCACGGCUAUGCGCCUCACAAAUGGAGACGAAAGCCUGGCCGUUGGCAUACGUGGGUACGAAACGGCACGUUCAGUGUUCACGGCCCUGGCAAAAGACAUGAGCAGGCACAACCACCUCUGCAAGCCCCACCCAAGGGACCCCCCCUCAUUCAACAACCGAACCCCGGUUACCCGCACGCAACGGCCCCUAGCCCCCGCAAUAACCACUCUGCUCACUGCGAAUGCGACCAUGCCGUCUACUGGCGCCGUGCAAACCUACCUUCUCCACCGAGGGCAGCCAGCCGCGGCCGCCGCUGAGGACCCAAUGGACGUCGACGCCGCAGCACCUGAGCACGACCAAAUGGAAGUGGACGAUAGUCAGCACGACCUGAUGGAAGCGGACGAUAGGCAGCGAGCCUCACCACUCAGGCUGUCUCGCCGGCGGGGCAAGCAAACACUUUGGAAACUAGCCCGGGAACGUGUAGUCAAGGACCUGGUCCACCCUCCCACCGAUGACUGCACCAACGGAGAUGCGCAGCUUAC
rnacentral:lncRNA from 1 species